AUUCUAGGAGAAAUGAUUCACUUAGCUUUGGAUUUGACUCUUUGUGAUAUUCUCUAACCAACAAUGAGAAUAUUUCUUUCCAUGACAUGGAAAUCUCGAGGUGCACUGUGAAGACCUUCCUGUGCAUUGCCUGCUGAGUGAAACUACCUGAUCCUACCGCUGGUUUUCAGAAGGUUGACUGUGAAUAAUCAGGUCCCAAUUUACCCAAGGUGUCUCAAAGAAAAAUGAAGCUCAUGAUUCAUGCCACUUAAAAAUGAUGCCUUCCCAGGGUGACUGCUGAGAAAAAAAGGAGAGAGUUUUGUCUACAGAGUGUUGGCCAAAAUAAGGUGUAUUAUAGGCCAAAGUAAAGGCAUACAUGGGACAUGGGGCCACAUUCCAUGACAGAAAGAUUCCAG